rnacentral:tRNA from 1 species
GCAUGGUGUAGUGGUUUGAGUGUUGGACUAGAACUCUAGAAGACCAGGGUUCAAGUCCCUGAUCAGGCG